rnacentral:rRNA from 1 species
AUUACGAGCUUUAGCUUGAAACCCAAAGGACUUGACGGUGUCCCACCCAACUAGAGGAGCCUGUCCUAUAAUCGAUGAUCCACGUUUCACCUUACCAUUUUUUGCUUUCUCAGCCUGUAUACCUCCGUCGCAAGCUUACCAUAUGAACGAAUCAAAGUAGGUUUAAGGACUUAUCGCCAAUACGUCAGGUCAAGGUGCAGCUUAUAAAAUGGGUAGAGAUGGGCUACAAUCUCUAAACUAGAACAAACGAAAAACUACAUGAAACAUAGUCAUGAAGGAGGAUUUAGCAGUAAAUAAGAAAUAGAGAGUCUUAUUGAACUUGGCCCUGGGAUGUGUACAAACCGCCCGUCACCCUCUUCGAUAGCCUUUAAAAAGUUUAAUAACCAAACUCAGCAUUUUAGAAGAGGCAAGUCGUAACAUGGUAAGUGUACUGGAAAGUGCACUUGGUAUAAU